AUUGAACGCUGGCGGCAGGCUUAACACAUGCAAGUCGAGCGGGGAAAGGUAGCUUGCUACCUGACCUAGCGGCGGACGGGUGAGUAAUGCUUAGGAAUCUGCCUAUUAGUGGGGGACAACAUCUCGACAGGGAUGCUAAUACCGCAUACGUCCUACGGGAGAAAGCAGGGGACAUUCGGGCCUUGCGCUCAUAGAUGAGCCUAAGUCGGAUUAGCUAGUUGGUGGGGUAAAGGCCUACCAAGGCGACGAUCUGUAGCGGGUCUGAGAGGAUGAUCCGCCACACUGGGACGGAGACACGGCCCAGACUCCGACGGGAGGCAGCAGUGGGGAAUAUUGGACAAUGGGGGGAACCCUGAUCCAGCCAUGCCGCGUGUGUGAAGAAGGCCUUUUGGUUGUAAAGCACUUUAAGCGAGGAGGAGGCUACCGAGAUUAAUACUCUUGGAUAGUGGACGUUACUCGCAGAAUAAGCACCGGCUAACUCUGUGCCAGCCGCCGCAGUAAUAC
rnacentral:rRNA from 1 species